rnacentral:sRNA from 1 species
GACCACUCCGCCAGGGAGUUAAGGCCAUGCGGACAGCCGGGUCCACUGCCGA